AAAUGUGGAGAACACUCAGGGGGAGGUGGAAGAGAGAAAGCAGUGAACAGAUUCAUCUUCCCUUCUAUAUCUGAAAGGAUAAGCAGGCUGUGCUUUCCAGAGCCCAGAAUACUCAGUACCUCUCAAUGACCCUCAGACGCUGUAGGAAGAGGAUUGGUUCACCUUUUAACCCAGAAUUUCUCACAUUGAAUGGACAGGAUGCAUUCCAAGAGGCCAGAGUAUGUGCAUCUCAGCUCCUGAUGGUUUCCACCACCACCAUUACUUUCUCUAUGUCAAGAUACCUGGGAAGCCGGUGUUUCAUUUGCAUUCUUGGAGCCCAGGAACUGUCUUCUACAAACUUUUCUUCCUAGUACCAUGUAAACGUACACAGGAAACGUUCAGAAAACAUCAGCCAAAUAGAAGAAUAAGGAAAUUCCUUCACUGACUAGAUAUUGGUGUUUGAUUCUGUCCUGCUUUGUACUCAAUGGCUAUUUCGGGGUUUCCAUUGCGGAAAACUAUUUGGAAAAUUGCAAGCCACGAGACAAGCCUCUAAGCUACUCCAGGAUCAUUGAGGACUCUCCAUGGGUUCUUAUUGUUAAAGAUCUUAACUCCUCAAGCCACUGCAUUUUUACUAUAUGCCUUGAACUACAAGAUGUGUUAAGAUUUAUAGGAUAAGGUUCUCAUCUCUAAAAACUCAUGGUCUCGAUGGAGAAGCAGUAUUUACACACAUGGAGAAGUUGAGAGUACUUGAAUGUGGAGUAUAAAGUGUGCGAUAUUGACAAGAAGCUCUACGAAAGUUCAGGAAGAGGAGGAGCAAGUGAGGAUGGAGAUGGACUUUGCAGAAUGGAGGAGAGGCAAAGAAACGGUUAGAAACAAUCUACAUAAUGAAAAGUCACUUUUGGGAGUUGUUUUAAGGCAGAGUAUCAUAUCGCAUCAAAACCGCUCCAUAAGUCCUGCCACUCCACGUGCAAUGCCAUGAACUUGAAGAAACUGCUGGUAAGAGAAAGCAAAUGCUGUGACCAGGCAAGCUCCUUUGCUGGCUGACUUUCUGCUAAUUCUGCAGCUGGAUGCAGCAGAAGAGGAUGGAAGGCAGAAGGAAGGGAAAAGUGGCUUCCUUCCCGAUUACUGCCAGUCCUGUCAGUGUUGCCCAAGACUGCCAAUUUGUUCCACCAGCAGCAGUGCCUUCGGACUUCUGCCUCAGUGUUUUCCAGCAGUCCCAGUGAGAGGUGACAACGCGCUAGCAGCCCUCACUUACUCUUGGCGCCUCCUGGGCCUCGGCGUCCACUCUGGCUGCGCUUGAGGAGCCCUUCAGCCCGCGGCUGCACUGUGGGAGCCCCUCUCUGGGCUGGCUGAGGCCGGAGCCAGCUCCCUCUGCUUGUGGGGAGGUUAGAAGAAUCUUGGUCGUCCAGAAAGCUUGCUAUAGCUGCCCAGCAUUUGCCUCCUCCACAAAGAAGGACCAAAAGAACAAGUAGACAAUCACAUGCCAAAUAAAAUGUCUAAAGGAGAGCACUGAAGCUCAGCAAAAACGUUACAAAGACCCUCUGAGGUGCAGAAACUCGGGAUGGCAGCACAAAGAGGAAAGCAAAGCAGCCGGUCAGGAUCAGCUCACAGUCAAGGGCGCCCCGCCUUGAGUAGGAAAUGUAAGCAGGAGAUGCCCUGCAGGCAACAUUCCCACCACAAAUGCCUGCAAGCCUAGCUGUAGGAGAGCCUCGCAGUGUUGAGCCCAGUGCGGGAGCUGCCUGGAGUCUCUGUGACUACAUUACUCCAGAGAGGCCACUGGGUCCCUCCUUAGUCCCUGGGACCCAAGCCGCUGCAGCACAGUAUCAUUUUGAGGACAGAGCCACUGCCAGAAUGCUUCCUGUCCUGGGGCCCGGUAACCCCUGCAUGUCCUCAUCACUGGAGCCCCAAUAUCAUUCCACAGUUGUAUGAGGAGUAAAAAUAACUAUAAAUAAAGAUAACUCAAGAAUUCUAUAAGCAAGCAUACACAUGAAAUUCAUUUUAUAAGAGGAAAGCUAACUCCAUCUCUCUUGAAAUAUGGAAUAGGUUCUUGAAGCAAUUCUAAAUGCUGAUCUGCUGGAAUGAUGGCUUCAUUGCACAAGAAUUCUGCUUAGUUCAUUGAAGUCUCCUUGAAGAAGUCAGUCUGAGAAUGGGGGAAUUCCGUUGUUGGUCAGAAGAAUUCUUUGGUCACUAUUGGAAGUGGGUUCAGUUUAGGGUGACUAUUGAUCAACAGGGUUCAUGGGUUUGCUAAAACUCAUUUCAGGCAAGCUUUGGAAGUGCAGUUCGCUUGGUGCUUAUGGGGUUAAAAACAGGAGGAAGAGAAUUUCACAUUAUUGGAGGGCCUGAAAGGAAACUGAUUCCCGCAAGAUGCUCAGACAAGAUCAAACCCAGCCCCUUUUCUGGUUUGGAAUUUCUCUGGGCUAUAAAGGUAGAAGAAAAGGCCCUGCAUGGGCCCACUCUAAGUGCUUGGAGGUUUUAGAUAAUUUUAUUAAAUUGUAGAAUCUUAAACAGAACUACAAGGUUGCUUUUAAAACCAGAUCUCAGAUUUCUUUGAGCUAACAAAUGGUAAAAUGUAUCUUUAGUAUUAGAGUGAGAUAAAGGUAGUUAUAACUUUUUUUUUUACUUAUUUUAUGUUAACGUAUGCAACAAAGGGUACAAAUUGUAGGUACGCAGCUCAUUGAACUUUUAUGUCUGCACAUGCCUAUGAAACCAACACCCAGAGUAAGAUGCGGAUAAUUUUCUGCUCCCCUGAAAAUUCCCUUGUGCCUUUUCCUCAUCAGUACCUCCAAAGUACCAACAUUGUCCACCGGGCGUUGAGAAUACAAUAUUGAAGAAGAGUCACUGCCUGCCCUCUGGAAAAAUCAGAGUAUUUGAAAGAAUACACACAAGUAAACAGGCAGCUAUGGCAAAGUGGGUAAAAGCUGCAAAACAGGGAAGUUUCGCCAAGUGUCAGAUGCCAAGAAGUGUCAGAUGCCAAGAAGAAAGGGUGCAUGACAUAGACUUGGGGGGGUCAGUAGUGGUUUCUGGAACGAGUGACAUUUAGACUGAAACUGGAAGGAUAUGAGUAAGGGCUAAUCGGACCAAGAUGAAGAGAUACAGAAGCAGAAGGAACAGUAGGAACAAAUGCUCAGAGGCAAAAGAAAGCUUUGAAUAUUUGAGGAACUGAAAAGCAAAACAACAAAAAAUAGCCAUCCCUUGACUAGACAAGUGACCUGGGGUCAGAUCCUGAAGGGCUUUGCAGAUCACUUUUCCGCUUGUAGACUUUGUACUUGACUUUAAGGGCCAUGGAGAGCCACUGAAGCAUUUUCAGCAAGGGACUGUCAUCAGCAGAUUGGUAUUUGUUUUGAAGUAGCACAUGUAAGAGAAAAUAACAAUAUGGACAAAUAAAGAGUUUGAAAAACAACUUUGCUUUGAUACUUUAGGAUGAAAUAUCUGAGAUAGCAGCGCCCCCCCCCCCAUCAGCCAUUUUUAAUGACACUACUAUUUGAGCACAAGUUGCAAGAAAAUUUGCAACAAAUAGGCUUUUUCUGUAGAACACAAAGCAGGGAUGUUUGAACGAUGCAUUAUUUGAAUUCCAUCUUAGUAGGAAGCCAUCCAUAAUAGGAGGAAGUUGAGGAAUAGGCCUAAUGUUCACAGUGGCACAGGUGGCGUUUGCAUCUGCCUUCAAUGUUCCUAUGAUACGAAUCCUCCACUGCAGAAAAUUCCUCGUGGAAUUUUCUAUUUUAUGUGUUAAACUUUAUCGAAAUCUUUUCCUGAUGUUUAUAUUUCUGUGAUAAUCAUUAUUAAACUGAAAAAUGCGGAA
rnacentral:lncRNA from 1 species